GGUGGCUCAAUGGUAGAGCGCUUGCCUUGCAUGCAUGAAGCCCUGGGUUCGAUUCCAGAAAAAGCCA
rnacentral:tRNA from 1 species